AAUAUUUCAGAGAUGGAAUUGGAGAUGGAGAGCUUAAUACUUGUCUGAAUUACGAAAUUCCACAAUUUGAAAUGGUGUGUGGAAAUGGCAUCAAAAUUUCAUUUGUUGUAGUCCAAAAACGGAUCAGCACUCGCAUAUUUUCGGGGAGUGGCAUUCAACUUGAAAACCCAUUACCAGGAACUGUCAUUGACCAACAUAUAACAAAAUCAAAAAUGUACGAUUUUUUUUUGGUUUCACAAUUUGUACGACAGGGUACUGUAACCCCAACUCAUUAUGUUGUUUUACGAGAUGACUGCAAUUAUGGACCGGAUAUAAUUCAAAAGUUAAGUUAUAAACUUUGUUUCUUAUAUUACAAUUGGGCUGGUACAUUACGAAUUCCAGCUUGUUGUAUGUACGCUCACAAAUUGGCUUAUUUGAUUGGACAAAGUAUUCAAAGAGAUGUGGCUGGAGCACUUUUGGAAAAGCUGUUUUAUCUUUAAGUUAUAAAAUGAAAACAUGUUUCAAACAAUACAUAGAAUACCAUUAAAAAAAAAAUAAAUAAAU